CAGUCGCCGCGGUAACACGUAGGGUGCAAGCGUUAAUCGGAAUUACUGGGCGUAAAGCGUGCGCAGGCGGUUAUAUAAGACAGAUGUGAAAUCCCCGGGCUCAACCUGGGAACUGCAUUUGUGACUGUAUAGCUAGAGUACGGCAGAGGGGGAUGGAAUUCCGCGUGUAGCAGUGAAAUGCGUAGAUAUGCGGAGGAACACCGAUGGCGAAGGCAAUCCCCUGGGCCUGUACUGACGCUCAUGCACGAAAGCGUGGGGAGCAAACAGGAUUAGAUACCCCGGUAGUCCCUGUCUCUUAUAA
rnacentral:rRNA from 1 species